AACCAACUGGGAUUACCUUAGUAACGGCGAGUGAAGCGGUAAAAGCUCAAAUUUGAAAUCUAGCACUUUCAGUGUUCGAGUUGUAAUUUGAAGAAGGUAACUUUGGAAUUGGCUCUUGUCUAUGUUCCUUGGAACAGGACGUCACAGAGGGUGAGAAUCCCGUGCGAUGAGAUGCCCAAUUCUAUGUAAAGUGUUUUCGAAGAGUCGAGUUGUUUGGGAAUGCAGCUCAAAGUGGGUGGUAAAUUCCAUCUAAAGCUAAAUAUUGGCGAGAGACCGAUAGCGAACAAGUACAGUGAUGGAAAGAUGAAAAGAACUUUGAAAAGAGAGUGAAAAAGUACGUGAAAUUGUUGAAAGGGAAGGGCAUUUGAUCAGACAUGGUGUUUUUUAAAUGUGCAAGUCUCUCGUGGACAUGUGCCUCUGGAAAUUAACACUGGGCCAACGUCAGUUCUGGCGGCAGGAAAAUCUUUUGGAAUGUAGCUACCUCGGUAGUGUUAUAGCCUUUUGAAAUACUGUC
rnacentral:rRNA from 1 species